rnacentral:lncRNA from 1 species
AACACUAAGUGUGCCAAUGAGUAGCUUUGUAACGCUAAACCUCCGAAUCAGGAACUGUUACAACCUCCAAGUGGUUUAUUUGAUGUAUCCCAAACUAUAGGUAGUUAAACACUAGAACCUACCCUUGAACUUCCUGGUUGCCAGGAUUUGUAAAGUUUAGGUGUCCUCAAACUUCCAAAAGCGGGUUGUUAACAAGCAGCAUAAACUGAUGUCGUGUUUAGGUGUUAAAAGGUUAUGAAAUCUCCUUUGAUAACGGAACGGAGGGCCCUAAACGGGCGACGUCUCCCUUAGGAGUUGAGUAAGAAAUCUUGAACCAAACGCGCCCUUGUCCAGUAACCAUUCCGAGUGGGGCCCAGUUACAAAGCAAAAGUUAGG